rnacentral:rRNA from 1 species
CCUACGGGGCGCAGCAGUGAGGAAUAUUGGUCAAUGGGCGAGAGCCUGAACCAGCCAAGUCGCGUGAGGGAGUACUGCCCUAUGCAUUGUAAACUUCUUUUGUCAAGGGACAAAAUCAGGCUCGAGAGCCUGACCGAGGGUACUUGAAGAAAAAGCAUCGGCUAACUCCGUGCCAGCAGCCGCGGUAAUACGGAGGAUGCGAGCGUUAUCCGGAUUUAUUGGGUUUAAAGGGUGCGUAGGCGGGCUGUUAAGUCAGCGGUAAAAUCCCGGGGCUCAACCCCGGCGAGCCGUUGAAACUG